AUUCCACUUGGCGCCCACCCCUGGAGCCUCUGACCACAGAGUUCUCCUUGCCCCAGUACUGUGGCCUGUUUACCACAUCCGGGUCCAGACUGGUGCCAGCCGGCCUGGCUGUCUGUGUUAUCAGCUGGGAGACUGUGGGAGAGAGUUGUUUAGACAGGGAAAUUUCCAUCAGCGGCAACUUCAGAUCCACCAGGGAGUGAACGCACACGUGGGGUUGGAGCUGUUCCUUCUUCUAUUUGUUAAUCCAACCAACACUAUUUGGGCACCAAAUACGUACAUGGCUUUAGGCAAGGCUCCUGGUUGAUACAAAGGUGCUCCCUUCACUCGUGCAAUGAACAUGAACUGAGCACCUGCUAGGCACCGUGGUGCUGGGGAUGCAACCGUGCAGACAGCAGACCUGGUCCCUGCUCUCCUGCGGCUGACUUGAUAGCAAAGGGGCAGACGACAGCCAAACCACUGUGUUAGACGCUGUGAGUGCUACAGAGAAAGACGAAGCCGAGACAGGGAGCUGGGGUGCAAGACAGGUGUUGGAGCGGGGGGGGGGGGUUGCAGUUUUUAAGAGUGUGUUCAGAAAAGGAUUCCCUGAGAACGGAUCAUUCGAAAAUGCAGCCUGAGGAGUAGCAAUCUUCGUUAAAGAGAUGCUGACUGGGGCGAGCGGUUAGUAGCUAAGAUGUCUGCCUUCCCCAGUGGGGGAGCUGGGCUCAGGGCAGCCUGGGGUCGCUCGGCACAGAUUUCCACACGGGUGUCAGGGACUGUUGGGUGGGAGGUGCACCCUGCCUGGGGCUGCAGCUCACCCCCACCUCUGCCUGCUGCACCGACUGCAUCCGCCCCGGCCUUGCGCACAACCUGGGGACAGCUCAGACCUCUUCCCACCUCCGGGCUUCUGCACCUGCCGUUCCCCUCGGGAGUGGGAGGGACCCGGCCGCCCCGGGAGCCGCGGGCCCUUCCUCGGCCUUCGGAGUCUCAGCUCACCGAAGCCGUCCAGCGGCGGGGCCCUGCUUGGCCGCUCUGGCCACGCUCCUGGCCGCGACUAGCACCUGACACAAUUAACCGACUGGGUUCUUGCUCGCUCCUUCCCCGCGAACGCGAGCGCCAAGAGGGCAGAGGCUUUGUCUCCUAGCGCAUCCCCAGCUCCAGCAACCCUGCACGGCGUUGAGUCCGCCCACGGCGCAGGGGAUGGGCGGGCGCGCACACCAGGCCGAGCCCCCAGCCCCGCCGUUUCCGUUCUUCUGCCGCAGUGAGCAGACGCGGCUCAGACUUUGCAGACGGCCCCUGGGCCCCCGCGAGGGGCACGCCGGAGCGCCGCGCCGACCGGCACUUGAGAGACGCUCCCCGGGAGCCGGGGCGGUGGCCGCGCGCAGGCACAGGGGGCGUCGCCAUUUGGCGGCACUCCCCGCGCUCCGCCCCGCCGCGCCCGCGGGGGUCGGCGCGCAGCGCGCGGACGCGGGUCUUUUGCGACAUUGCCCGGCGGUCAAGUAUCAUUGCCCAUUGCCAUAUUCCUUGCACUUAUCUAUAUAUGCUGAUGCACUUUAAAAUAUUGCAACUUU
ensembl:lncRNA